GAUGAAGAACGUAGCGAAAUGCGAUAAGUAAUGUGAAUUGCAGAAUUCAGUGAAUCAUCGAAACUUUGAACGCACAUUGCGCCCCUUGGUAUUCCGAGGGGCAUGCCUGUUCGAGCGUCAUUAUAACCCCUCAAGCUCAGCUUGGUGUUGGGGCCUGCCGCACGGGCAGCCCUUAAAAUCAGUGGCGGUGCUAUCUGGCUCUAAGCGUAGUAAUUCUUCUCGCUAUAGAGUCCCGGUGGAUGCUUGCCAUUAACCCCCAAUUUUCUAUGGUUGACCUCGGAUCAGGUAGGGAUACCCGCUGAACUUAAGCAUAUCAAUAAGCGGAGGA
rnacentral:misc_RNA from 1 species